rnacentral:piRNA from 1 species
UCUGUGACAACCUAGGAGACCAUCUGG